ensembl:lncRNA
AAUCAGACUCAUCCCAAAUCUGCCUCCCUCAGCAAGAAUUCUGGUAUUUCCAUGGCAAUUGAAAUAAAGCGAAACUUCUUUAUUUUGGGUUCAUACUGCUGAAAUACACGAGCCCCCAUGCGGCCAGAGAGCUGCAGUAAAUACACCUCGACCGCGAGAUGAGGUUAUGAACCCAGACAAGAGGUGAUAUGUGAGAGAAAAAACCUAUUAAAAUGAUGACCUAUUUUAAGAUCAAUUGUCAUGCGUAACACGUUAUGUUGUACAAUUUGUUGUUUUAUUUUAAUAUCAUUGGAUGUUACACAACUGCUUAUUUGUGAUGUUGGGGCAUAUUUAACACAGAGUUUACAAAUAGGAAGCCUUUUAAAAGACUUAAGUGACAUUCAUGUUCCUUAUUUCCCAGUACUGGGUUGACUGGAACAAAGCAAGAAUGGAAACAGUAGCUUAUGUAUCAUCAUGUAAUUUAUAAUUAAUUAAGUUUAUUAAUUUGGUUUCUUCAUUCAUGAAAUAUACGUAAAUGUAUCUCUGCUAUGAAUGAUGAUUAUUAAAUAUAAGACAUUUAUUUACAAUACAUCUGCCUGAGCUUUACAAUUCAAUUAUUCAGAUAAAACACAGGGUGUUGGGGGAGAGGGCUGUUCAUAAAAAGAACAUUACUUGUAAAGGCAAUACUGUUGUAAUGUGCUUUCCUUUCCUUUUCCAUAUGCUGAUCCCUUCAUAUAGAUUUGCUUCUGUAGAGAGCAUAAUCUCUAAGAUAUUUAGGAUAAUAGUAUAAUAUAUAUAAAUAUUUCAUGAGAACGUGUGCGUGUGCUAUGCAGUAGGAGUACAGUAUACCUGGUGUUUAUGUUUUUUAGUACAUGACAACUCAAGUUGUCAAGAAGUUUAGCGAAUUAUUGUUCAAGUAUGUUGUGUUUGACCACAAACAUGUUGUACGAUAAUGCAUUUUAGUUUUAGAGAAAGACAAGCCACUCUGCCCUUGCAAAAGUGUAUUAUUAUUCAAUAUGCAUUUAUUUUGUAGCAUCAAUGUUAUCUAUAUAUAUGUGUUUGAACAUGCAAAUUGUGUGUAUCCACAGGCUUCAUUCAAAUCUAUUAUUUUUGACAUUUCAAAAGCUGAGAGAGGAAACAUAAAACAGGGUGAUUACAGAGGGAGGACUGUGUGUUUUGUCCCCAUCAGUUCAUCUAGAAGCACUUUAUGAAAGUGUUCUCUUGCUGUCUCGUAUGAUUGGCAAGCCAAAUCCUUUUGCAGACUACAUUAAGAAUUAGAAGACUAAAUUGUAUAAGGGUCAGAAUAUUCCUUUUAAAUUCAAACACGUUCUUGCAUUUGAUCGUCUUCAAUAACUGCACCUUGUGAAUACAAAAGCAACACUUCUGCCGUGGUUGGAGACGGUUCCAGCUGUGUGCUACGCCUCUUUUAAUGUUGCAGCUCUCAGCUCCCUCUUGAAGCCUCCUCCCUCUUUGCUCCUUCUCUCCUCGAGGCACAUACAAGCGAUUGAAAUACCCUCUGUGAUGGCGAAGGGGGGAAUGAUCUCCGUGUCAAACGAGGGGAGAGGACGGUAGGAAGUCUCAGUCAGCACAUCGGGAAAACACCCACAGUUUCACGGACAUUCUGUCUCUUCUUUCCCCCCCCCCAUUCACCACCCGCUGGUAUAAAACUGAAAAGUCUGCUGUGCCAGCAGAGACAAACUAACACAACUGUAAAUGUAGUGCCUCAUUGGAUGCAUGACCCACUGUGUGUGUGCAUGUUUGAUGCACGGCCUGUCCCACACAACGUCCUCGCUGCAUCACUAACUGUUCAUUUCCACUGGGCAAUCGGAAGUCAUGCUAUUGAAUAUGAAAUGAAACCUCCCGCGUAUGUAUUCCCAACGCAUUUUUGUCAUCUUUUCCUCGUGGCAUUGGCAAUGCUUCCUCCAUUUCUUGGUCUACAUGCCACAUAUGUCUGGCAGGGCGGGGGCUUCGUAUACCGCGAAGGUUGCGUCUCCUGGCGAUGCCUUUCAUUGUCCUUCAGCGGCUCCCGUGACACUAAUCCAGAUGCAUCAGUUUUGACCGCAUUCCUCCAUUGCAAAAUGAAUCAAUCCAUCCUGGAAUUUCAUCAGGAAAUCUCUUCUGCUCUUCAACAUCUCUUUCCCCGCCUCCUCCAACGCCAUUUACCCCUUUCCUCUCUCUCCAUAUCCCAAAUUGUGAGACAGGCCAUUUAUCAACAGACUCAUCGGACAUUUAAAAAUUCCUGUAAGGAUGUAUUGCUUACAUUUGACAAGACGUACAUGAGUACAGUGUACUCGCAAUGUCUGUGUAUGUCAUGUAGUAAAUGUCAAUCCCAGCUACAUGAUAGAUUGCUCUUAUAGUCAUGUGUAACAUAUACGUUAAAAACAAAGGAUACACUCUCCUUUAGGAAACUUUCCUUACACAGAAAAUUCAAUUAAAAUCUUCAUUUUGCUUGGCGCAGGAGUUUUUGUACACAGAAACGCUCACAUCUCCGGAAAAUAUGCUGAUAUUCGUGUUGUUUUUGUUCCUCCACUCAGUCGUCCCCCUAUUUGUCAUGUGAAGCACACACCAGCUUUUCUGCAUGUUUACCAAUGACGAAUGGAGGUCUGCGCUCUUCAGGGGCAGAGAGAGGAAUCCGGUGCACUCGGGCUGAGGGCCUACAGGGUCCAGCAGCUUUAAGCUCGGGGGCCACCGGCAAAGGAGAGCUGUGAUAAGUCUGGGCUGAAGAAUGCAUACGUUCACAUGGGACGAGCCAGAGCGAGAGCUUUGGCUGCAUUGUUUUCUCUGGCCUGCUGUUGCAUAACAACACACAUUCCCAGCGCACACUUCCUGAAAUGGAUUUAGGCAUCGAAGACAUUUCUAGUCUCAAGUCUUGGUGGGAAGAAGACAUUUCCCAUCGUGUAGUGCACCAGAAAGGUUGAGAAAUGGAAAUGGGUUUUGGUAAAAUCAUUACACAAAAUAGUAAUGACGGAAGAACAGUAAUAAUUGACCUCAUAAUACUUUACAGUAGUUAUAGUAGCUACAAAUCCUUUGAAUAUCAGAGCUUUAAAAUGAAUGCGUGACUUUGUUGGUUAUGAAACUAGGUGUUUCAAAUGGAUACAGCUGUCUUUUAAAGUUCAAAAGAAACUUUCCCAUACUACAGUCGGCAAUAAAUGCCAUUAGGAGUGAAUAAUGAAGAUGAAAUAGCAACAUUUUCACAUAGUAUGUAUGUGGUUUCAAAUGUGGUUUCACGAAUUCUCCAUCUUAUUAGUUUUUCUCCUGGCUGCCUGCUUGCUUGUCAAUUAACUCUUCUGUUAUUCCGGAUCCUGUCAUCAACAAGAGAUCAUCUCUUAUUCUCUUCACCUGGUCCUCCUGCCCUUCCCACCUGCAGCCCAUUCCCUCAUUAGUCCCUCACUAUUUAGGUCCCCACACUUGCACUUGCCCUCUGCCAGAUUGUCUGGUGUAAUACUGCCAAGCAUUCCAGCGUAUCGUGAGGUGGUUCCUGAUCUGCCUGUCCCGACCCAGUUUGUCUGAAUACUCGACCAAGGAUUUUUGCCUGCCCCCUUCUUGGAUUUUUUGCUUUUAUACAAGUAAAGAACUUUGAUUGGAUUUCUGUUUGCGAGUUGUGCUUUUGGGUUCAAGUUACACAUAUAAAUCACUCCCAAAAUCUGAUUUUUUUAAACUUUAACACCACCGUGAGUUUGCUUUUCAAACUUGUGGAACAAAUACUAUAGAUGGGGUGUUUAGCUGUGAUGAAGCUGAGUAUCAAAUUAAAAGCUUUUACCAUUCAGUUAUUUCAUAACUAUGAUCUGCAAAGGAUAAAAUAAUGUAUACUGACACCAUAUAGCUACGUACUUUUGCAAUCCCACUUACUCUGUAUCCUUGUACAGUUUUAAGCAGUAAGGCACAGUUGGUUGCUGGUCCUCUUAUUUGUGCCAAUUUCCUUCAAAGAGUUUCUUCCACAAGUUGUACAACCUUUUAAUCAUUUGUUUAUGCGCUUGUGAGAGGUAGAACAAAUAUCAAAGUAGGACUUCAGCAAUUUCAUAGUGUGGCUGUUGUCAGAAAACCUACUCAACAAGGGGUCUCUGUUAUUUGCACGCAAGAUCCAUGUGGGCAGCUUCAUGAAUCCAACCUAAACUUUUCUCUGGAGAUAAAGGUUUCCUCUGCGCCUCCCUCUUUCACUGAUUGUAUACAUUUUGUAUAUUUUCUUAUUUAUUAUAUUAAAAUAGAUUAGUUUAACAUUAUGUCUGGGCAAAUUAUCUGUAUCCAUGCCACAGUAACAUCAGUUAAGAAUAUUUGCCCCAUAAUGAUGAAUAUUGCUGGUGGGAAAAGGGUUCUCAGCAGCAGUUCUAAUUCACAUCUGUCUUGUCUGCCACAAAUGAGACAGCAGCAUCAUUUGUGAGAUAAAUCACUGGAAAUGAUAUUUAUCUUAAAUGAGGUGUACAAACACUCAAGGACAGAAGCAUAUAAAAACCGCCUACAUGUUUCCCUUGCACUUGUCCUCAGCUCCAUUUAUUUGGUAACUCAUGAGAAUAAUUGCUCCAUUUCUUUUAAUGAUGUUCAGUUUGUUUUAGAGCAUUGCUGUGAUCACCUUCAUACUUGGCAUUGAAAACCAUCAGCCUUUAAACAACCAGUAUGUCCUUGGACAGCUUUUCUUCCAAAUUGAUCCGUGGUGCAGGGAUUGUACACAAGAGUCUGUUUUGAAUCUGCUCCCACUCAGGCCCUAAACGGCUGUUUGUGCAAUCACCAGAUUUCUUCCCACAAUUAUAACUUUAAAGUUAAAUUUUACCUCCAACUGACUUCACCAGCUGCAUUCAUUUGAAAAAUACCAAAAAGUGGCCAACGGACGUCGGGAUUAAUGCACGGCAUCUUCUACAUGACAAAAAAACAUUGAUUCAGACCACAAAGAACAAAAGAACUACAACCCACAGUGCCGCCGCUUCACUCCUCCCAGAUGCAGCUCUGGCAGCAGAGCGCAGAGGAACCCGUGGUGCCUCUGGCCACCACGCCGUUCAACUCAUUUUCUUCUAGCAUGAAAUCGUAGUGGAAUUAGCAGCAAACAAUGACACAGGGAGCCUAUUUGCUAAUUGCUGUUUUUCUAAUGUGCUCAUAGUCCAGUCAACACAAAUCACAGAGGAAGAUUGUGCCGUGCUAAGAUGGGAAUGCUCUGGAUAGCGGGAAAGUGAAAACGACAAUAUUGAAAUGUGUCAUCUCAAGAGAGUUGUAUCAUUUGGUUUAUAGGUUUAAAAAAAUGCAUGAUGUGUACAAACACUUUCUGUUUGAACUUCUCGACACAUGUUUUUUUUUUUGACAUCUCUAUUGAACAUUAAGCCAUGUUUGGUAGAGAGGUCCCCAAGCAGGCAGACAGGGGGCAGGUGGGGUGUUAGUUGCUACGCACGGCAAAAAGUGUCAAGAGGAACAAGCGCAUGUGAUGGGGUAAUUUGGGUCAUUUUUCAAAUUAAAAUAUUUUUCUGAAAGAAAAGUCAAAUGACCUCAGUGGCCUGCAGACACGCUGGCCCGGUGGUUGGGGACCCCUGAUCAAACCCUAUGCAAGGCAUAUAUAGAUAUUAUACAAAUAAUUGUCAGAGGGUGUAGGCAAUAUUUCCUUCCUUCCAAAAUAAUCACGUGUUUGGAAGAAGCAGGGUUCAGCUCGGACCCCCAACUCUACUUCUGAAGGGCUAUGCGAACAAAACAAGGUAUUUUCUAUUUGCUGGGAUUAAAGACAUUAGAAUUAAAGCAGUGGAACAUCUUUUUGCUCAGUUUAUUCCACCAGCCGUCGACAUGGCUGCGGGGUGUUCUUUCCUAAUCAAGAUGUACUAUUCUCGGCACCCUGCUUCUUUUUGCCAGCGAGUUGAUUAGCUGAUCUCCAACUGCAGGGUUACGUCCAGUUUUGCGGUACUUUGACACGGAAACACCAGUUGUCUAACACAGGGGACCUUCUUUGUGCUUCCAGCUGAUAAACGCUUAACUCAGAGGUGCUGCUAUUGUUUCAUUAUUGGGCCACAUGAGCAGAAUAUUGUGGCAGAGUGGCUCCGCUCACUUCAAUCUCCAUGUUUUGGGGUGUUCUAAAUCAGCUGAAUUUCCAUCUAGGCUCCAACCCUCCCACUGUGUGUUACCAAGCUGUGACUAAUUAUCCUUUCAGGUUGAUCACAGGGUGGGGCUGCUGAGGCUACAUGGAGGAACAGCCCAUCCACUUCAGGUGUGUCUCCCUACCUCUUAUAUUAAGGCAUCGGUAGCUGAUGCGCUCUGUGUUUGCUAUAGUCAGCCACUUGUCUGGCUGGAGGUUGCGGCCCGAGGGAGCGUGGCGUCCGCUUUGUGCGCGUGGCGUCCAAUGUGCUGCACGGGAGCAUCUUUUGUGUCUCCCCCUUCCGCGUCAUCGACGGCGCCUGCCUGUCUGCCGACUGAGGUUGGAGGUGGAAGCGGGGCCUUCAAGCCGGUACAGAUCCCCUUAGGCGUAGCAUCCAAUUCCUACG